CGUAGGGUGCGAGAGUUAAUCGGAAUUACUGGGCGUAAAGCGUGCGCAGGCGGUUUUGUAAGACAGAUGUGAAGUCCCCGGGCUCAACCUGGGACCUGCAUUUGUGACUGCAAGGCUAGAGUACGGUAGAGGGGGAUGGAAUUCCGCGUGUAGCAGUGAAAUGCGUAGAUAUGCGGAGGAACACCGAUGGCGAAGGCAAUCCCCUGGACCUGUACUGACGCUCAUGCACGAAAGCGUGGGGAGCAAACAGGAUUAGAUACCCUGGUAGUCCACGCCCUAAACGAUGUCAACUGGUUGUUGGGUCUUUACUGACUCAGUAACGAAGCUAACGCGUGAAGUUGACCGCCUGGGGAGUACGGCCGCAAGGUUG
rnacentral:rRNA from 1 species